AGAUACCCCUUAUAUUAGGAAGAUCCUUUUAAGCUACUGGAGGAGGUUUAAUUGAUGUUCAACAAGAAAAAUUGAUUCUUAGAGUCCAAGAGGAACAAGUUACCUUCAAUGUUUUUAAGGUUAUUAAACAUUCCAAUGAUAAUCAAAUUUAUUUUCGAAUUGAUGAUAUUGAUAAAUUAGUUCAUGAGUAUUUUGUAGAAAAUAGAUUUGAGGAUCUUAUUGAGGCUUGCAUUGUCCAAUCAAAAGAGGGUUUAACUGAAGAUGAAAGGCAAUUGGAGUGCAUACGAUUGUUGGAGGCCAGAUCACACAUUCUACGAGCAUACAGAUCAUAUUUUGAAGAGUUAGAAAGAUCAUGUACUCCUCUCUCAAAGCCAUCA
rnacentral:lncRNA from 1 species